CCCUAUUCAGUUAUAUAAAGGUAUUCGUAAACACUGUUAUACGUUCUGUUUUUGCACACUUAUUUUCUAAUAAGUAAAUGCUGCUGGAAUCGAAUGGAGCAAUCGCAAAAGAAAUCUUUACGCACUCCCAUUUCUGUGUCGGCGACCUUUGCUAGUUCCAACAGACUAGAUCACUGCUACUCAAGUUAAGUUACGUAAAAUUGAAAGGAAUUACAUCUGCUACGUCGCAAGGAAAAAAACAGAGGUGAAGUUACAUUUCUCACCCACUG
rnacentral:lncRNA from 1 species